rnacentral:rRNA from 1 species
GACAGAGGGUGCGAACGUUGUUCGGAAUCAUUGGGCGUAAAGCGCACGUAGGCGGUCUGUUAUGUCGGAUGUGAAAGCCCUUGGCUCAACUGAGGAAGUGCAUCCGAAACUGGCAGGCUAGAGUACUAAAGAGGAUCGCGGAAUUCCCGGUGUAGAGGUGAAAUUCGUAGAUAUCGGGAGGAACACCGGUGGCGAAGGCGGCGAUCUGGGUAGAUACUGACGCUGAGGUGCGAAAGCGUGGGGAGCGAACAGG